UCUGGUGAUGAUGGCGAAGAGGUCACACCCGUUCCCAUGCCGAACACGGAAGUUAAGCUCUUCAGCGCCGAUGGUAGUUAGGGGCUUCCCCUUGUGAGAGUAGGACGUUGCCAGGC
rnacentral:rRNA from 1 species